GUGGGCUUGGGCAGAGGACAGGUCCCCGGGGUGAGAAUGUCACUGCUUGUGCCCCCACCUUGCUGUUGGUCUCUGCUGCUCUCUGUGCUCAGUCUUCCCGUGUGUCUGGAGGUAUCAGUUGUGCUCACGUUUGACUAAAACCACUGGGUGGGGACCCUGAGGCCAAGCGUGUCAGUGGCCCCUUCCAAGAAGAGUUAGAGCUGGUCCUGUCUGCCAGGACCCAGGGCUCUCUGAGCAGAAGGGUGGCCCUGGGUCCAUGCACACGGCUGAGCCUGGACGCCCGGCAAAGCUAACCCGGGGCGAAACACAUAGAUUUUAUCUUAGGGCUGGGGGCCGGCGGCACGGAGGUGACACGCGCCCACUUGGGCCCUUCCAAGGGGGUCCUGGAGCUUCCUGGCACGCGGCUGGCCCGCUGGAAGGCCCUAGACCCCAGGUGUUUCCUCAGCUUCUGCCUUCCAUCCUGACCUCAGACUCGCGCCAGCUCUGCCCCCAGAGAUCGGGGACUUUGAGGAGGCUACCACCUCUGCCCCUUGAAGAGGUGGCGCCCCUGCUACCUCCUUCCCAGAGCUGCCAGGAGCUGAUGAGCAGCAAGCUGCCUGCUGAACCGAGGGCCUCCUCGUCAAGGACGACCGUUCUCUCUGCUGUUUGCCUUUCCCUCUGAGAAUUUAGCACCGCUCCAGGACGCCCCAGGCACAGACACCCACCAUGCACACCCACUCCCACAGCUCCCCUCCUCGCGGUCCUGACACCUGCUCCUGACCACGCACCCCGGAGACGUAAUAAAACAAGCGUCGCCUGGAACUGUGGGGUCCCUGGACCCAGAGACGCUCGGAGACAGGACAGACCAAGGUUCUGCAGAGCAGCCCCCAGAGCCUCUCCUGUGGGUGGUUCUGCCACCUGCCAUGGCUCCUGUGUCCUCUGCUCCAUCUCCCCCCCCACCCCUGCCAAGAGGAGGUCUGACCCUCCCCACUUGGCUUCUCCAGGAAACACUUCCUAGAUGCUGUUCCUAACCCUUGGCACGUCUGCCCUUGGUGUCCAGUGGAGGGCAGUGCUCUUGGCACCAUUACCUCCUCCCCCGGCCCAAGCGCAGGUCCCGUGUCCAGCCCGCGCCCACUCCCGGCAUCUCCAGCCCUGCUGGAGUCAAGGCCUCAGGCCCAGUGUCUGCCCUGCCCACACCCCGUCAGAGCACCUGCAGUGAAACGGAGCGCACGCAGCAGAACCGAGCACCUGCAGUAAAACAGCGACACCGGCAAAUACAGGCGAGGGGGGAACGGGAGCUGUCCUGUCGCUGGCCGGUCUGCAGACGGGCACACGCCCUGUAUGACACGACCCAGUGGCCCGACUCCUGGGCACACAUCCUGAGCGAUGAAGUCAUGGCAUUGUACAGAAUCCGGCCUGCAGGGCCCAGCAGCUGCCCUUGUAACGGCCCCAAAGCGGGAAAAACCCAGAUGCCCCAACAGAC
rnacentral:lncRNA from 9 species